rnacentral:rRNA from 1 species
UACGUAGGUGGCAAGCGUUGUCCGGAGUUAUUGGGCGUAAAGCGCGCGCAGGCGGUGCGGUAAGUCUCUGGUGAAAGCGCUCGGCUUAACUGGGCGAGGGCCGGGGAGACUGCCACGCUGGAGGGGAGCAGAGGCGAGUGGAAUUCCGGGUGUAGUGGUGAAAUGCGUAGAGAGUCCGGAGGAACACCAGUGGCGAAGGCGGCUCGCUGGGCUCUACCUGACGCUGAGGCGCGAAAGCGUGGGGAGCGAACCGG